CAGCCUGCAUAAAAAGCCGCCUGUCACUCCUCCUCACCAGCAGUCUCCUGCAACUGGCCUUGGAGCUGAGAUAAUCAUGUCACGCAAACUGUUCCUAGUCCUCGCGCUCUUCCUCCUGGUAGGAGAGCUUAUGGGGGAGAUGCAGGAUGAUGAUGGCCUCAUGCUCUCCCAGCUCAACAACAUGGAGCAACC